CGCAAGCCUGACGGAGCAACGCCGCGUGAUGGAUGAAGGCCCCUGGGCUGUAAACCUCUUUUAUCAAGGAAGAAGAUCUGACGGUACUUGAUGAAUAAGCCACGGCUAAUUCCGUGCCAGCAGCCGCGGUAAUACGGGAGCGGCAAGCGUUAUCCGGAAUUAUUGGGCGUAAAGCGUCCGCAGGCGGUCUUGAAAGUCUGUCGUUAAAGCGUGGAGCUCAACUCCAUUUCAGCAAUGGAAACUACAAGACUAGAGUGUGGUAGGGGCAGAGGGAAUUCCCGGUGUAGCGGUGAAAUGCGUAGAUAUCGGGAAGAACACCAGUGGCGAAGGCGCUCUGCUGGGCCAUAACUGACGCUCAUGGACGAAAGCCAGGGGAGCG
rnacentral:rRNA from 1 species